GACGAACGCUGGCGGCGUGCUUAACACAUGCAAGUCGAACGGAAAGGCCCUGCUUUUGUGGGGUGCUCGAGUGGCGAACGGGUGAGUAACACGUGAGUAACCUGCCCUUGACUUUGGGAUAACUUCAGGAAACUGGGGCUAAUACCGGAUAGGAGCUCCUGCUGCAUGGUGGGGGUUGGAAAGUUUCGGCGGUUGGGGAUGGACUCGCGGCUUAUCAGCUUGUUGGUGGGGUAGUGGCUUACCAAGGCUUUGACGGGUAGCCGGCCUGAGAGGGUGACCGGACGGAGCGCGGGUGGGUGCGGGCGCAGGAUAGUGCGGGAGGGAGGGGUGGGGAAAAUGGCAGGGGGGGCGGGGGGAUGAUGCGUCAGCGCGGGGGGGGGGGGGGGGGCCUGCGGGUGGUAAGCCGUUGCCGCCUGUGAGUGGGGGUGAGGGAGGGAAUGGUGUAAAGAAGCGCCGGCCCACUACGCGCCCGCGGCAGCGGUAAUAUGGGGCAGAGCAACCGUCUGAAC
rnacentral:rRNA from 1 species